rnacentral:lncRNA from 1 species
GGGCAUGAAUCCAAAAUAAGAUCGAAAGAUCUGUGAAGCAUAUCAUGGACCGCAUCAUAUCUAAUAAGGUAUGAUUCUUUCUUUUUGUAAUACUAUUUAAUUAUGAAAUGUAAGAAGGUGUCUAUUGAGAGAGAAUUUUAUUUUUCUUUAAAUAAUCAAGAAACUCAUAGUUAAGUAUUCUCCUCCUCAAUCAGAUGGAAGAACCUUGAUACUUUUAUCAGUUUAUUUCUCAAUCAUUCUUUGAUACUCCU